UACGUAGGGUGCGAGCGUUGUCCGGAUUUAUUGGGCGUAAAGAGCUCGUAGGCGGUUUGUCGCGUCGGCCGUGAAAUCUCCACGCUUAACGUGGAGCGUGCGGUCGAUACGGGCAGACUUGAGUUCGGUAGGGGAGACUGGAAUUCCUGGUGUAGCGGUGAAAUGCGCAGAUAUCAGGAGGGAACACCCGGUGGCGAAGGCGGGUCUCUGGGCCGAUACUGACGCUGGAGGAGCGGAAAAGCCGUGGGGAGCGAACAGG
rnacentral:rRNA from 1 species